rnacentral:rRNA from 1 species
UACGUAGGGUGCGAGCGUUAAUCGGAAUUACUGGGCGUAAAGUGUGCGCAGGCGGCCGAGCAAGUCGAGUGUGAAAGCCCCGAGCUUAACUUGGGAACUGCGCUCGAAACUACUUGGCUAGAGUGUGGCAGAGGGAGGUGGAAUUCCACGUGUAGCGGUGAAAUGCGUAGAGAUGUGGAGGAACACCGAUGGCGAAAGCAGCCUCCUGGGCCAACACUGACGCUCAUGCACGAAAGCGUGGGGAGCAAACAGG